rnacentral:misc_RNA from 1 species
UCGGCCUCAAGGUGCGGAUAGGCACAAGGCAACCAAGCAAAACGCGCAUACACACACACACACACACGUUUCUUCAUAGAUAGUUUUCAGCAUCCACAUAGGCGCAACGCCUGCUCUGCGCCUGACACCCCGGCCGCCCCGCCACUAGACUGCCCUUAUCACGGCUGGGCCGGCACCUUUGGUCAGCGCGGACCAGAGUCACAUCCGCAGUCGAGAAUGCGCCCAACAGAGAUGCUAUCGCCAGAUAUGUGCGAGACGUCGCCGUCUGCCCCGUCGCUGGAGGUCGCUACCCUCACACAGCCACCCCUGCCUGCCGUCGGUGAGGUAAAGGAUGAAGUCACCAUUCUCUCCGCUUUUUCUCCAGCCAUCACCGCCUCCGGCGCCUCCUCUCUCGUGGGGUGUACAGAGGAGGACAAACUCACAAGAAACUUCGUUGAGGCGGCGGUCGUGGUCGACGAAGGUGCGAACACUCCCUUUUCCGUGGACGACGCUACACAAUCCAGGAUAAACGGGAGGUCGCCACUUCUGGUGGAGACGGAGAGCAGCGACGUGACCCUCGGUGACACCUCGCAAAACAUCUUGCCCUCACCACCGCUGUCUUUCACGGAGGCCAGUGAGCAUCACGGCGCUCCGCAGCACAACCCCAGCGCCUCCAGCGUGGAAGACGAGGAAAACCAGAAAGUGAACGGCGGAGAUGACGCUGAUGUGACGCGAGGCAAUGCAAUACAGAACAAGUACAGCGUCACGUCAGAGUGGGUCGAAAGCUUUCCGCGAGCCGGCUCGUCUGUCUUACUUGACGAACCCAUGCAGGCGACUGCUUGUGCAGAGGUGACGCCGCUCGUGUCAGCGGCACUGCACAAGAAACGAAGUCGAAGAGAAGACGGCGGCAAAGAUGGGCAUGCGAAGGGUGGCAAGGGUGAGCGCAAGCGGCGCGCGCAAGAGAAGGCCGAGGCUGCCGAAGUGCAAGCAGCCUUCAAGCACUCCCAGCGAGCGCUGCGGAAGCAAGCAAAAUCCUUGAACAUGAGGGACGUCUUCUCUCGCACGCUUUCCCUGCCGUCGCCGCUGCAAGUCGCUACCGAUGCACUUGUUGACCCCCUCUCCUUUCCUCCGAGCAGGCUACUUGUGGAGACCGGCAUCAGCAGCAACGAUGCGAAUGACGAUGGUACUUCUCCUGCCGCGACGGGUGUGUGCUCGCCCUCGUCGCUUCGACUCCACUCGCCUGCCUUCUCACCAGCGUCGCUUGUGUCGCCGUCUUCGGCAUCCAGCAGCAGCGCGUGGUCCCCAAACGUGGUUGGCGAGCUGACGAACCGGUUUCUCGCCCAUGUGCAGCAGCAGAAGCGGCAGAAGUUUGAGCAGAUGGUAUCACGCGAGCUCACACAGUCCCAGGCGCUGAGCCAGACGCGGAGCCUUGUACAGCAUCCACGCGAACACGGCGCUGCUGAGGAUGGUCAGCGCGCUGACGACGACGAGUACAGCCCGCGUACGCGCACGGACAGCGCGAUGGCGAAUGACUUCAGAACACCGGUUGACGAGCUCGUUAUUGGAGAGGAAGACAAUGAGGCGGCGAACUGGAUGCCGGCCGAUUCGUCCUCGCCGACCUCACCGCACGCACGGCGCAUGAUGCAGCGCGACCCAGUUACAGGCGACGAGAUGAUGUUACUGGGAGCUAGCUCGAGCGAGAAGGGGCGACUUCCGUCCUUCUCCUCGACGCCGGCCGAAAGUCGAAAGGCUGAGGAGGAGGAGGAGGAGGAGGCGUCGCAACAGCAAGAUCAGGUGAUGAGGUCGCUCGCCCGCAAGCAUGAGAUCUGGAAGCUGAAGCAGCGACAUCUGCGGGCGCAGGAGCAGGUCGAGCUGGACGAGCGCGCCAAGGCAAUGCAGCAGCAAAAGUCGACCAAAACUCUCGCGGCCGUCACGUCGACGUCGUCUUCCGUCAGCGUCCCCUUAGCCCGCGGCGAUGCCGAUUCGGCCCCGGCGACGUCUGCCACUGAGGCCAGCGCGGCGUCCGCGCCGUUUUUCACUGGCAUCUUCCGCAACUACGUGGCUGCCGCAACAGGCGUACAGCGCAGUGACCGUAAUGGCGAUGACGGUGCUACCGCCGCUGUGCGCUCUGGGCAGGUGGCAAAGCUGUCUGCAGAGGACAUUUCCAUGAUUCGCCGCAUCAACAGCUUCGACAACACCUCGACCCAGCGCGUGGUCGUCUUUGGCACGGCGGCGUCGAAGCAAACGCGGUGUGAGACCAUGCAACGCUGACGGGCUCCCGCGAAAAGGAAAGCGACAGCGUGGGUGCAUCCUUUUCUGCCGUUGGCGAUGCCGUGGGUGUCUAAGGGUAUAUGAGGCGAGUCAUCGGCCUCGCUCUUCGCUUGUUCUUUCUUCUCUUUAGCCCGUGAUUCAAUGCAUAGUCCCUCAUCUAAGGAGGAUCUACGAAGACGUCGGUGCUGGGGUGCGCGCAUAGCCAGCUGCCCUGCCCCCACACUACCACCCCACUCCGCCCCGAUGAAGUUUGUGCAACAUCGUUUUCACGCAUGUGUGCCUCGCUCACGUAGAUUUGACUGGAGGAGGUGAAUCUCCAUGGCAGGUAUC